UGGAUGACACCUAUUUCAAUGUGUGGAAGCAUAAAAUGCUUAACUCGAGCAUCUAUUAUGGUUGCAAGAGAGGCCAUCUUAUGCUUCCAGACUUUGAAUUAGUUGUCAUACA